rnacentral:rRNA from 1 species
UACGUAGGGGGCAAGCGUUGUCCGGAUUUAUUGGGCGUAAAGAGCGUGUAGGCGGCCUGAAAGGUCAGCUGUGAAAACUCGAGGCUCAACCUCGAGACGUCGGUUGAAACCAUCUGGCUAGAGUCCGGAAGAGGAGUGUGGAAUUCCCGGUGUAGCGGUGAAAUGCGCAGAUAUCGGGAGGAACACCGGUGGCGAAGGCGGUUCUCUGGGCCUGACCUGACGCUGAGGAGCGAAAGCGUGGGGAGCGAACAGG